rnacentral:tRNA from 1 species
UCGGUAGUUCCUAGAACUAUACCGGUUUUCAAGACCGGAGCUAUCAACCACUCAGCCAUCUCUCC